GUUUGGAUGCGGGCUGAUUCAACAUCUGGAUACUGUCAUCAAUUCAAUGUAUACAUGGGCAAGGACGAUCCAAACAAAGGGCCUAAACUAAGGGAAAAAGUGGUGAAACUGCUAUGCAAGGACCUCAAAUGGAAAGGACACCAUAUAUAUAUGGAUAGAUACUUUACAUCAGUACCAUUGUUUAGAUGUUUAGAAAGAAAUGGCAUUUAUGGAUGUGGUACAAUAAAAUGCACAGCAGUUGGUCUUCCAGAAGACAUAACAGAUCCCCCCAGGAUGGCGCGAGGGGAGAGUAUUGCCCGCCAGAAUGGCAAUCUGGUAGCAACUGUGUGGCAAGAUAAGAAAAAAGUGCAUUUCCUGUCAACCAACUCUAAUCCAACAGGUGAAGGCUCCACCUUUAGAAGACUGAAAAAUGGCACUAGGAU